CCAUGCAGGAGAAGAGGAGUUUCGAACAGAGUUCAAAGUGCCUCCCUUCCAGGACUGCAUCCUCAGUUUCCUGGGUUUCUUAGAUGAAGAUAAGGCCAACAUGGAGGAGAGGACUCUCAAACAUGGUGGCACUUAUCUUGAGGUUGGAGACGAGCGCUGUACACACAUGGUGGUGGAGGAAAACUCAGUAAAGGAGCUGCCAUUUCCUCCCUCCAGUAAACUCUUUGUGGUCAAACAGGAGUGGUUCUGGGGAAGCAUACAGAUGGACGCUCGGGCCGGAGAGUCCAUGUACCUCUACGAGAAG